GUGCUUGUUGUUGCAGCACAUACACUAAAAUUGGAAUGGUACAGAGAUCAGCAUGGCCUCUGUGCAAGGAUGAUAUGCAAAUCCAUGAAGUGUUCCAUAUUAAC
ensembl:snRNA U6 U6 spliceosomal RNA